UAGCAGCACGUAAAUACUGGAGUUUAGAUGCUCUGCCCUCCAGUAUUGCUUUGCUGCUUUA
rnacentral:pre_miRNA from 1 species